AUGCGCGUACACACGCCAGGGGAGGCAUGGCGACAUGAUGCUCUUCUACACCGCGACGCGCAAGCGUGGGUGGCGCCGCCGGUCUCUGCCUUCAACUUCAUGCUCUCGUCCCUGCAGAAGAACAGGCUCCACGGCAAGGUGAUCCACCUCUGGAAACACAUGGUGGAAAUGGAAGAAGCCAACAAUGUGGUGCCAAAUCACUUCACAUACACAGUUGUGAUCGGCUCAUUUGUGAAGGAGGGUCUCCUGGAGGAGGCCAUGGAUGUUCUGGGGAAGAUGAGUGCAGACCUAAUACACAAUAUGCAAACACAUAUACUCAUUACGUCCCGGUUUGUCACGGAGGAGUCGACGUAUAGUGGCCUGAUCAGCUUGAGUGCUAGGCAUCGCAGAAUGGAGCAGGCAGUGGGGCUCUAUGAGGAGAUGAGAGCCCAUGGAAUUGUCCCCAGCAACGACACAUGUGCAUCCCUCCUGGCACUCUAUGACAAGAGUGAGGACUACUCGAAGGCGCUCUCGCGCUUCUCGGAGAUGGAGCGGAGCAGGGUUGUCAUUGAUGGGGUCAUCUAUGGGAUCCUCAUUAGGAUCUAUGGUAAGAUCUGGCUCUACGACGAUGCGCAGCGCACCUUCGAGGAAAUCGACAAUAUGUGUUUUUUGAGUGUUGAGCAGACUUAUGUGGCAAUGGCUCAGGUUCACAUGAAUGCUGGCAACUAUGGUAAGGCAUUGCAAGUUUUUGGAUUGAUGAGGUCGAGGAAUGUGAAGCCGUUGCCGUUCUCUUACGGCGCUCUUCUUCGAUGCCAUGUCGCGAGGGAAGACAUAGCUGCAGCUGAAGAUGCCUUCAGAGCUCUGUGCAAAUAUGGCCUCCCUGAUGUGUUCUGCUGCAACGACUUGCUGAGAUUAUAUGUCAAGCUGGGCCAGCUAGAGAAGGCAAGUGCAUUCAUUCGUAAGAUGAGAAAAGAAGAUAUCCUGCUUGAUGAGGCCCUCUGCAUGACUGUAAUGAAAGUUUCCUGCAAAAGCGGGAUGAUCGCCGAUGUGGAUAAGAUACUGAAAGAGAUGGAAAAUGAAGGGGUGACCAUGAAGAAUUCGACAAUCGUUUCUAUGAUAGAGAUGUAUGCUAGAAGCAGAACCAGUGUGAUGCAGGAACAAGAUAGUUCGUCGAAGGCACUAGGUUGUCAGACUGACCAUUCAACGUUGGACACGACCUUCAGAUCCUUGUUGCACACACCUCUGGGUUCAUCCAUCGCGUGCCAAUUGAUCAGAAAAUUUUCUAGGGAAGGGAGUACAUGUGAGGCAAAAUUCCUUCAUGAACAGCUGACUGAAUUGGUAGUGGAGCCUGAAGAUUCUGCAACAGCUACUCUGAUGGUCCAAUAUGGCCAGGAACAGAAGUUACAGCAAGCCGUGGAACUGUUUGAGUCGGCAUCGACAUUGUUUCCAGUAGGAGGGCCUGUCUACAAUGCCAUGGUCGAUGCAUUAUGCAAGUGCGGCAAAAUCGAGGAGGCGUAUCAUCUCAUUAUGAAAAUGGCUGAUCAAGGCCAAAGCAAAGAUGUUGUGACAAUUAGCAUACUUGUCAAUCACCUGACCAAACAUGAACAUCAUACAUGCAGCUUCAAUGGUGAAGUUGAGCUUGAUACCGUCGUGUACAAUACUUUUAUCAAGUCGAUGCUCUACAUAUAUGAUCGCUUGAUAUCCUCUGGCGUUCCCCGUUCUUUGCAGACAUUCAAUAUAAUGAUAAGUGUCUAUGGCCUAGGAGGAAAGCUGGAUAAGGCUGCUGAAAUGUUUACUUCUGCACAAGAACUAGGCUUACCGAUCGAAGAGAAGAUAUACACAAACAUGCUUAACUUCUAUGGAAAGGCUGGGAGGCAUCAGGAUGCGUCUUUACUAUUCAAUAGAAUGAAGGAACUUGGUAUCAUGCCUGGAAAGACCAGUUUCAACUCCAUGAUCAAUGCCUAUGCUACUUCCAGGCUGCAUGAUAAAGCAGAGAUUGUUUUCCAAGAGAUGAAAUCACAAGGUCAAGUAGCCAUCCAGAUGAUGCUGAGCAGCGGCAUAACCCCUUCAUGCCCCCAUUUCAGCCACCUCAUUUUCGCCUUUCUGAAGGAAGGCCAAAUAGAUGAAGCUCAGAGGAUCUGCUGCCAAAUGCAGGAGAUUGGUGUGGCUGUCGAUUUGGCCUGUUGCCGGGCAAUGAUGAGGGCGUACCUUGAGCACGGCCGCGUCGACGAGGGCAUAUCGCUCUUUGAGACAAUACGCAGGUCACUGAAACCUAACGGCUUCAUCCUGAGUGCUACAUUUCAACUCUAUGUGCAUUCAGGCAGGGAGCCUGAAGCUGGGGAUGUGCUAGAAGCCAUCGGUCUACAUGGUGCCUCUUUCUUGAGAAGUCUGAAGGUUGAAUCAAAGUUGGAAUCAACUUAA
rnacentral:rRNA from 1 species